GUGUAACCAUGACAACAGGCUAAACUAGCUAGUUAUUGUGCGAUAAUCGCUUAGUAUUGUGCAGUUGGCCUUAAAAAGCGAUUCGGUCAACAAACUGCGCACAUGCUGCACACAAUAACCGAUAUAUCUGCACAUAUCGUAAACACUUCUUUUUCUGCAUCCGCAUCGCAGAGGAUAAGGGAAUCCCAGCCUUUUUCCUUUUUGACACCGCCGGGCUUCUGUACUCUUUUGAGACAAUCGCUGGUAGCAAACCAACCCUAACCCUCAGCCCCUUUGCGAACAGGUGAAAGUAUCCUCAGACAGUUUUCAUUUUGCCUUCUCACGAUGGCAUCGUCUGCAAUGAUCACAGUCCCCACCACAGCAUCCCGCUUUGCCCUGCUACAGAUAGAUUCAGAUUCGGAUUCGGACACCUCCGAGUCGGGGAAGGCUACCACCAAAACUGGACGGGACUCCUCUGGGAAGCCCCGACAAGGAAAAGCAGGUGCAGCCGGAGGGAAAGCUGCUCAGGGCAAUGACAAGAAGAAAGACAAGAAGAAGAAGAAGAAAGAGCAGCAGCAGAGUGAGGCAAAUGAGUUGCGUAAUCUGGCCUUCAAAAAGAUUCCUCAGAAAUCUUCUGCCCCUUCUCCCUGUAUGACGCUGUCAGGAAUAGCCGGUGAACUUCUCAAUCCUACGUCGGUGGACCAGGAUACACCGUCGGAGGGUUGGCAGCAGUGGAAGCAGAGAGACGAGCAGAUAACCACAGAACUAUAUGAGGCAGACUUGGAAAAAGCCUUGAUUUUAAGUAAACUGGAGUAUGAACAACAGAAGCAGAGCAACACAAACACGUCCUCGCCAAAGUCACGGUCAGGAAAAGAAGGUGGAGGCAAGAAGGACAAAAAGAAGAAUCAGCAGGCAAAAGACAAAAAGACAGUUUCUCUGCAAGACUUCCAGGCUGAAAGCAGUGCAGAAAAUUUAAGUAGAAAACAAGAGAAAGAGGACUCCAGAACGGCUAAUUUAGCACUGGGAGUCGGGCAGGACGAACGUUUUUUUAAUAAGUUGGAAGAUGAUGUCAGUCGGAUAAUCCAACGGGAGAAAAGACGCGAGCAGUAUACGAACAGCCAGGGACAAGAAGUCAGCACGUCAACAGAACACGAACCAGACCCCAGAGCGGAGCAGCUGAAGUAUGAGCUGGAGAAGAAAGAUCAGGAAAUUGAUAAGCUGAAAAAAAACAUUUCACAGUGGGAGGUAAAAUACAAAGAGGUGAAAGCAAGAAAUGCUCAGCUGCUGAAGAUGCUGCAGCAGGGAGAGAUGAAAGACAAAGCAGAAAUUCUUCUACAGGUAGAGGAGCUACUGCAUAUUAAAGAAGAGCUGUCUUCACAGGUAACAUUAUUGCACGCUGCCCUCGAACAAGAGAGAUCUAAAGUAAAAGGACUGCAGUCAGAACAACCAAAGCACCAGAAACUGUGGAAACCUAACAGAAAAACUUCAGCCUGUAAGGCAGGUAAAGUCAGAAAGUGUCAGCGUAAGUAAGCCAAAGGACAGAAACAUAAAGAGUUUACUCGGCCCAGUCAGGGGAGCAGUGAGCUUAGAUUCAGGGAAACAAGAAAGGGAAGAAGGGCUCAGAGGCAGAUCUAUGAAGGUUUCAGAAGGAAAAUGCCUGAAAACAAAAUGAAAUAAACAAAUGAAGAAACCCCUGAAGAAUAUUCCCACUAUUGAUCAAAAUCAGGGUUUUUUUUUUUGUUGUUGUUGUUGUUGUUAAAUCUUAGACUCCUGGUCAGUCUGUUUUGCAUGCCCUCCCUAAACACACACACACACACACACACACACACACACACACACACACA